rnacentral:rRNA from 1 species
UACGAAGGGGGCUAGCGUUGUUCGGAAUUACUGGGCGUAGAGCGCGUGUAGGCGGGCGAAUAAGUCAGGGGUGAAAUGCCAAGGCUCACCCUUGGAACUGCCUUUGAUACUGUUCGUCUUGAGUCCGGGAGAGGUGAGUGGAACUGCGAGUGUAGAGGUGAAAUUCGUAGAUAUUCGCAAGAACACCAGUGGCGAAGGCGGCUCACUGGCCCGGAACUGACGCUGAGACGCGAAAGCGUGGGGAGCAAACAGG